rnacentral:tRNA from 1 species
GGAGGGAUGCCGGAGUGGUCGAACGGGGCGGUCUCGAAAACCGUUGUGCCCCUUGGGGUACCGAGGGUUCGAAUCCCUCUCCCUCCG